rnacentral:rRNA from 1 species
GACGAACGUUGGCGGCGUGCUUAAUACAUGCAAGUCAACUGAAGCAGAGGUAGUAAUAUCUCUGUGGAGGUGGCGCACGGGUGAGUAACACGUAGGUAAUCUGCCUUCAGGUCUGACAUAACCCCGAGAAAUCGGGGCUAAUAGCAGAUGAUGCAGCGGCUUGACAUCAAGACAGUUGUUAAAGCUUCGGCGCCUGAAGAUGAGCCUGCGUCUGAUUAGCUAGUUGGCGGAGUAACAGCCCACCAAGGCUACGAUCAGUAGCUGGUCUGAGAGGAUGAUCAGCCACACUGGAACUGAGACACGGUCCAGACUCCUACGGGAGGCAGCAGUAAGGAAUAUUGCUCAAUGGGAGAAAUCCUGAAGCAGCAACGCCGCGUGAGGGAU